rnacentral:rRNA from 1 species
GACGAACGCUGGCGGCGUGCUUAACACAUGCAAGUCGAACGGAAAGGCCCUGCUUGCAGGGUACUCGAGUGGCGAACGGGUGAGUAACACGUGGGUGAUCUGCCCUGCACUUCGGGAUAAGCCUGGGAAACUGGGUCUAAUACCGGAUAGGAGCCAUUUUUAGUGUGAUGGUUGGAAAGUUUUUUCGGUGUAGGAUGAGCUCGCGGCCUAUCAGCUUGUUGGUGGGGUAAUGGCCUACCAAGGCGGCGACGGGUAGCCGGCCUGAGAGGGUGGACGGCCACAUUGGGACUGAGAUACGGCCCAGACUCCAACGGGAGGCAGCAGUGGGGAAUAUUGAACAAUGGGCGGAAGCCUGAUGCAGCGACGCCGCGUGGGGGAUGACGGCCUUCGGGUUGUAAACUCCUUUCGCUAGGGACGAAGCUUUUUGUGACGGUACCUAGAUAAGAAGCACCGGCUAACUACGUG